GGCUUCUCCGCUCCCCAAGGGCGAAGUUCUGGGACGCACGGAAGACCACUGAGCCUCCGCCGGCCACUCGGCCAUCCAAAAGAGAGCGCGCACCUCCCUCUCGUGCUCGCUCUCGCGCCUUCGGGGGACCGGGCGACCCCGGAUGAGAACUUGCCAGCGCUACAGCCCCCUGGCACCGCCUCUGCUGCUGCCCUGAGGCCCUCCACUGGCCCCCAGACCCCACCCCGGCCCUCACCUCCGCAGCGCCUGCUCCAGGCCGUCGCGCUCCCGGGCCGCCUCCUCCAGGCAGGCCGACGCGCGUAUCAGAACAUCCUCGAAAGAGCUCAGCAGCUCGGGGCGCUCGCGCUGCAGCCUGGCCCAGAGUGUCCUCACAGCCCGCUGCCUGGAGGGCGGGCGGGCGGGAACUGAGGCUGGAGCUGGCAGAGGCGGGAAGCAGGCUUCCCUCCGCCAACAGCAAACCCUUAGGAGACUCCUUCGCCCCUGGGCAGGACAGGAGCACUUGCUGCGUGCAGGGCAUCCCUCCCGUGAGCGCUUUCGCCCCUGCCCGGCGUGCGUGGUCGGUGAGGUGUAUGUACCCUGGGCAGUGCCCGUAUGUGGCCCCGCGCCCGGCGCUGCGCCUCCUCCCUGCAGCCCUGGCUGCUGCCUCAUGAAAUGCAAAUUCUGCGGGAAAUCAUGCCGGGUCCCUCCCAGGGAAUCGCAGCUGACACUAGGCUGGGCCUGACCCGGCCUAGAGACCCUGUGCAGAACCCGCACUCGGGUGACAAGGGCAGACAGUAUGCGGGCAGAGAACAGCAGAGGGGGCAGUGGGAGCGGGGCCAGCGCCGACUCACUCGCCCAGGACCGGGGCCACCCCCAGCUGCUCCAGCGCCGUGGGGUAUGGCUCCUCCUCUUCCUCCUCCUCAUCCAGAGAUCCCCCCGUGCCCCGCACGUCGAGCCCGCCCGACUCGAAGGUCUCCUCGGGAGUCCUGCAGGGGUUCGCUCCCUGGGCCGACUCCACCCCCACAAACAUCCCUGCGGGCAUGGAGCGAGCGAUUACCAGGGCUGUGGGUCGCCACCCUGGCUGUGUCCCCGUUCACCCUCCCAACAAGUAUCCUGCCCUCUCUCA